GUGUCUGGUGGGUAGUUUGACUGGGGCGGUCUCCUCCUAAAGAGUAACGGAGGAGCACGAAGGUUGGCUAAUCCUGGUCGGACAUCAGGAGGUUAGUGCAAUGGCAUAAGCCAGCUUGACUGCGAGCGUGACGGCGCGAGCAGGUGCGAAAGCAGGUCAUAGUGAUCCGGUGGUUCUGAAUGGAAGGGCCAUCGCUCAACGGAUAAAAGGUACUCCGGGGAUAACAGGCUGAUACCGCCCAAGAGUUCAUAUCGACGGCGGUGUUUGGCACCUCGAUGUCGGCUCAUCACAUCCUGGGGCUGAAGUAGGUCCCAAGGGUAUGGCUGUUCGCCAUUUAAAGUGGUACGCGAGCUGGGUUUAGAACGUCGUGAGACAGUUCGGUCCCUAUCUGCCGUGGGCGCUGGAGAACUGAGGGGGGCUGCUCCUAGUACGAGAGGACCGGAGUGGACGCAUCACUGGUGUUCGGGUUGUCAUGCCAAUGGCACUGCCCGGUAGCUAAAUGCGGAAGAGAUAAGUGCUGAAAGCAUCUAAGCACGAAACUUGCCCCGAGAUGAGUUCUCCCUGACCCUUUAAGGGUCCUGAAGGAACGUUGAAGACGACGACGUUGAUAGGCCGGGUGUGUAAGCGCAGCGAUGCGUUGAGCUAACCGGUACUAAUGAACCGUGAGGCUUAACCUUACAACGCCGAAG
rnacentral:rRNA from 1 species